CAUAUUUCACAUCUGACGAAAUAGUUACGCGUUUUAAGUACUAACAUUUUCAUUGGAACAGUGACGUUGGUGUAGGUGCAAAUACUUUUCGUGCGUACCUUUCACUAUCCCUCUUCUACUUUGCAUGUUUUCACGUGCUCCUCAAAAAUCCAUUGCUUCUACGCUCUUCUACGUUUCACGGAGGCACUUCCAUCCUAGAGCUAUGGCUAUACCUUUCCCCUGCAUCUACGCUCCUGUGCCCGGUGGUGGUCCGUCCUGGUCAGGGCCGGUGCUAUAUGCGGACCAGCUAAAUUAGGAUGUGGUCGAGCAGGAUCCCCAGGUAUUACAGAAUGAGGACCUUGUUUACAAAAUACGCACACCCAUGUGGAAUCUGUUGUAUGUGCGUCAUAACGUGAUGACAACGUUGAACUAAAGAGACCCGCUCUACUGACUUUAC
rnacentral:misc_RNA from 1 species